rnacentral:rRNA from 1 species
GAUUAAGGGCGCGCGGUGGAUGCCUAGGCUCUCGGAGGCGAAGAAGGACGCGAUAAGCCGCGAUAGUCCACGGCGAGGUGCAAGUAACCCUUGACCCGUGGGUUUCCGAAUGGGGCAACCCGGCCGUCUAGAUGACGGUCAUGCAUUAUCAUGCAGGCGAACGCGGGGAACUGAAACAUCUCAUUACCCGCAGGAGAAGAAAACAAAUAGUGAUUCCCCCAGUAGUGGCGAGCGAACGGGGAAGAGCCCAAACCGCUGCCGUUUCGGCGACAGCGGGGUCAUGGGACCGCGAUACUCGACGGAAGACGAAGUGCAAUUACCUGGAAAGGUAAGCCGUGGAGGGUGACAGCCCCGUGCACGACACCUCUUUCUUAGAUAGCGGUAUCCCGAGUAGGGCGGGACACGAGAAAUCCUGCCUGAAUUCGCCAGGACCUCCUGGCAAGGCUAAAUACUCCCGAGAGACCGAUAGUGAACCAGUACCGCGAGGGAAAGGUGAAAAGUACCCCGAGCAGGGGGGUGAAAUAGACCCUGAACCCGCGCGCCUACAAGCGGUCGGAGCCAUGAAAUAUGGUGACGGCGUGCCUUUUGCAUAAUGAGCCUACGAGUUAGUCGUCACCAGCGAGGUUAAGGGCUUCAGGCCCGUUAGCCGAAGUGAAAGCGAGCCUUAACAGGGCGACGAGUUGGUGGCGCUAGACGCGAAACCUUGUGAUCUACCCACGAGCAGGUUGAAGUCGCGGUAACGCGUGAUGGAGGACCGAACCGGUAAACGUUGAAAAGUUUUCGGAUGACUCGCGGGUAGGGGUGAAAGGCCAAUCAAACUGGGAAAUAGCUCGUACUCUCCGAAAUGCAUUUCGGUGCAGCCUGUGAUGUUCUGUUCCAGAGGUAGAGCUACUGGUUGGACGCGAGGGCUUCACCGCCUAUCAAAUCCGGAUAAACUCCGAAUGCUGGAACACGAAAUCAUGGAGUGAGCCCGCGGGUGCUAAGGUCCGCGGACGAGAGGGAAAGAACCCGGACCACCGGCUAAGGUCCCGGAUGGACAGUUAAGUUGAUCAAACGAGGUGGGAUCGCGGAGACAGCUAGGAUGUUGGCUUGGAAGCAGCCAUUCAUUUAAAGAGUGCGUAACAGCUCACUAGUCGAGCGAUCCCGCGUGGAUAAUACACGGGCAUCAAACUGUCAACCGAAGCCGUGGGGUCAGUGUUGAACUGACCGGUAGGAGAGCAUUCCUGCCAGCGUUGAAGGUCACCCGCGAGAGUGACUGGAGCGGCAUGAAAAGCAAAUGUAGGCAUAAGUAACGAUAAUGGGGGCGAGAACCCCCCACGCCGCAAGACCAAGGCUUCCCCGGCAAUGUCAAUCAGCCGGGGGUCAGCCGGCCUCUAAGGCUAACCCGAAGGGGGACGCCGACGAGAAACGGGUUAACAUUCCCGUGCUUCUCGUCACCGUGACGCGGUGACGGGGUGAUGAAUGGACCGCGCGCUGACGGAAUAGCGCGUUGAAGACCGUACCCUUUGACGGUGGUAGUCAAGCACGCCACCGGAGGCGAAAGUCGAUAGUACCUCGAGGCCUCGGCCGAGGGGAUAGCGUCCAGGCAAUUUACCCCCGAGAAAACCCGCUAAACUUCAAGUGACGAGGAACCGUACUGUAAACGGACACACGUGGUCGGGUAGAACAUACCAAGGCGCUCGAGUGAUUCAUGGUCAAGGAACUAGGCAAAAUAGUCCUGUAACCUCGGGAAAAAGGACGCUCUAGUGAUAGAGCCGCAGAGUAAUGGCCCAGGCGACUGUUUACCAAAAACACAUGGCUAUGCCAAAUCGAAAGAUGACGUAUAUGGCCUGACACCUGCCCGGUGCCGGAAGGUUAAGAGGAGAGCUCAGGGGUGACCCGAAGGUUCAAAUUGAAGCCCCGGUAAACGGCGGCCGUAACUAUAACGGUCCUAAGGUAGCGAAAUUCCUUGUCGGGUAAGUUCCGA